UACGGGAGGCAGCAGUAAGGAAUAUUGGACAAUGGACGCAAGUCUGAUCCAGCCAUGCCGCGUGAAGGAUUAAGGUCCUAUGGAUUGUAAACUUCUUUUAUAAGGGACGAAAAAAGGUCUUUCUAGAUCGUCUGACGGUACCUUAUGAAUAAGCACCGGCUAACUCCGUGCCAGCAGCCGCGGUAAUACGGAGGGUGCAAGCGUUAUCAGGAUUCAGUGGGUUUAAAGGGUGGGUAGGCGGGCAGGUAAGUCAGUGGUGAAAUCCGAGAGAUUAACUAAAGAACUGCCAUUGAUACUAUCUGUCUUGAAUAUGGGGGAGGUAAGCGGAAUAUGUCAUGUAGCGGUGAAAUGGUUAGAUGUGACAUAGAACACGUAGAGGGAAGGCAGCUUACUACGCAUAUAUUGACGGUGAGGCAAGAAAGCGUGGGGAUCAAACAGGAUUAGAUACCUUGGUAGUCCACGCCCUAAACGAUGGAUACUCGACAUACGCGAUACACUGUGUGUGUCUGAGCGAAAGC
rnacentral:rRNA from 1 species